CAAUAUUAAUCUUACAGAGAGCCCUAUACCUUCACGUCUUUCUCCCUCCGGCUAUAAAUAUACCUCUAUUCCCAAAGGCCGCUACACUCACCCACGCAGACACACGCCGGAAACUAAUAAACAACUGAUCGACCGGCCGCCGUUGCUUGCCCUGCAGGAUGAGUUCGAAUAGCAAGCGUGACUCCAAGAAGCUAUUGAAUCCCAUCAGAGAAAGCCUGAGCUAUGGGAGUUAUUUUGGCACUUCAUCAACAAGUGGUUCUUCUUCUUCAUCAUCUGCCACUGCCAAGAACACUUCAUCGAAUGCGAAUGGCUCAACCUCAACCUCAACCUCAACCCCAGCAGGGAGCUAGCCUCACCACCGACAAGAUCAAUAUCCUCCGAAAAAACAUGGUCUAUCAACGUAUUCCGCUGCCGCCGCCGCCUGGCAAGACCAUGAAAAUCUGAAAAUCAUAGUUCUUAAACCUCUUCGUCCGUACCAGUCAUUUCAACUUUCCCUUCACUCCUUUGUCUCUUAAAACUCUAUGUGUGUCUUUCCAGUACUUGGUAGAAUGAUAUUAAUAAGGGAAAGUGGUCUCUGUUUCCAGUGUUUAGCUGGAUGCUAGUUAUCAAUAAAUUAGUGGUUUCUUGUUCUGUUUCACUGUUUGUAAGCCGAUCUUGUAAUUUAAUAAGCUUUUAUCAA